AAACAGCUACAUACAACCUAGUACACUUGAAGUCAGACAGACAUUUCAGUUGCUUACCUCCAGUACUGAGCCUUGCUUUGGGAAACUAAAAGAUUUAGACCAAGUCACUGCCAGUUUUUGCCUUUGUUGCAUUUUGUACAGUUUUUAUAUUUUUGAUAUCUUGUAAAUAAAGACAACCAGCUUUUCCAGGUUCAUAAUUUAUUGUACAAAU
rnacentral:lncRNA from 1 species